ensembl:lncRNA
UCUGAAUCUAGUAGUGUGUUCAGUGUUCUGCUGUCAGCACUAUUUCAGUUGUCCACCUACCUUGUUAAUAUCAGUGUGUACUUCAUUUUUAAUAUGUUGAUGUCAAUUUUGUCAGGAAUUUAUUCACUGUUGAUUCAUUCUGUGUAUGAACUGUUGACAGGAAGCAGAGAGCAGCAUCUCCAGAGUCCAGCUGUGUGUGUGUGAAGAGGAACAACUCCAUGAUGGAGCCUCAUAACUCCAGCAGUGGAGGAGGAACCUCUGACCCAAAGGUAAAGAGAGCAGAGUCUCCAGCACCCAGCUGUGUGUCUCUGAAGAGUGAUGCGUCCAUGGGUGAUUUUCCUAACUUCAGCAAUGGAACUGUGCCGUCUGACCCAAAGGUAAAGAGAGCAGAUUCUCCAGCACCCAGCUGUGUGUCUCUGAAGAGUGACGGGUUCAUGAGUGAUCCUCCUGUAUUCAGCAGUGGACCUGUGCCGUCUGACCCAAAGUGUCACAUUACACACUCAUAUUCUUUCAUUAUUGUAGGUGUGGAAGGGUGGAGGGUGCUGUUCUGUCAGUAAUGUAAGGUCUACUCCAUCUUUACUGUUUUAAGAUCAUUUGUAAGGUGUGUUAAUGAUGAUCACUGAGUGAGGAUGACAGUCAACAAUUCCAGUUAUACAGCU